AGCGGGAGGAGGGGAGGACCGGGAAUGAUGCAGAGGUACGGAACCCUGCAGAGACAGGGAAGAUGGAAAAGAGAGGCUGUCUGGGGGACAGUCAAGGAGAAAAGGCUGGCAUGUCAGAGACUCCAGUCUCUCCACAAGUCACCAUGCCAGAGAGAGGCAAUGGGAGCUACAUGGGGAGAAAGCAACAAGUGAUCCUGCAGGGCAUGAAGUCAGCCACGAAGUUCUGGAGCAGGAAUGAGUGUCAUCCAAGAUUAUUCGGCAGAAUUCAGGAGUCCUGAUUUCCAGACGCAGAGGGAGAACACUUCUUUGUGGGGGAGCAGAACUGCCAACUCUGAAGAGACACAGGCUGCCCAACUGGGGCUCAUUUUGGGCCCUGAAUCUUUGGGUCAAGUGGCAGUAGCGGAAGGAGCAUGAGUCCACAGGAAUGUUUUGCCAGUUUCUGAGUCUGGGAGUAGUACCCACCUGACCUGUUUACUGGGGGCAGAGUCCAGAGUGGGACAAGAGGGAGGGGACCACAACCUGUGAUCAGAGGGCAGCAGGGCUGCACAGGUCCUGCUGAG